UGUGAGGCACGCCUGCCGGAGAGCAUAUAGACGCAGAAAUAUAAAUAACACAUGGCGGGGGUCUUUGCCAUUGCAGGCGUAUGUGCUCAAGAACACAGUCUUUUGCCGGGCCACAGACGUGUCUCCAUCUACAAAAGAUUUCUCAUCUGAAUCGCUAUAUCCAAAGAAAAAUUGCCCAACAAAAAAAAAAAAAUUCCAAACAAAAAUUCAUACAAAAAUUAACAACGACAACAAAAAAAAAAUGAAGGAUAAUAAUUUUUCUAAAGUUUCGUGUUGUGUGAGUUUAUGACUUUGCGGCAAAGUUUAUAAAAUAUAUAUAGUGAUUUCAAAAAUAAAAAAAGGAAAGAGAAAAAAAAAUUGAUAUUCAAAAUUAUAAAGUGAAGGAAGUGUUUUCGAAAAAGGGAAAAAUUACUCCCUCGAAAGGAACGAUAGGCGAAACAAAGUAACGAUAAAUUGGAUUCAUGGAAAGUAAACUGAGUCGGAUGAUGAUGUUACCGUAGAAAGAGAGAAAGAGAGAAAGAGAGACAGAGAGAGAGAGAGAGAGAAAAAGAAAGAAAAAGAAA